AUUUCGUCAGCCGGUAUUUCCUGUUUGUCAUACCGGGGUUUCGGCUUGGCGGUGGCUUCCUCCACGACCAGUCCACUGGAGCAGUCAUGGUGAAGAUUUUCAUCGGGAACCUGUCCCAGCACGCCGGGAAGGACGAGGUGGAGGCUCUGUUCGCCCAGUACGGCACAGUGACAGAGUGUGCCAAGUACAAGAACUAUGCUUUCGUCCACAUGGAGGACCGCAAGUGUGCCACCAAGGCCAUCCGUGAGCUGCACCUCCACAAGCUGAACGGCAGGCCCAUCAAUGUGGAGCUCAGCCGGGGGAAGAACCAGGGGCCGGUGAAGCUCCACGUCGCCAAUGUGGAGAAGGGAUUCGACGAGGAGCUCCGCACCCUCUUCGAGGAGUACGGCACCGUCACAGAGUCCGCCAUCAUCAAGGACUUCGCCUUUGUGCACAUGUCCGAUUCGGAUGAGGCCAUGGAUGCCAUCAAAGGUCUGGAUAACAUAGAAUUUCAAGGAAAGCGCAUUCAUGUUCAGAUAUCAAGAAGCAGACCCAGAGGGCCACCAGAGGAGGAGGCCUAUCCACCGCCGCCCGGCCGAGGAGACUACUAUCCUCCACGCUACCCACCCAUGGGGCCCGAGCCUCCCUACAGGGGACGCAUGUCUGCUUACCCUCCUCCGCCGCCGCCCCCUCCCCCGAGACGAGUGCCGUACCCCGACCGGGGCUACGGUGAGCGAGACGAUUACGGGGUGGUCGACUACUACGAGAAAUUCAGAGCCCGUCCCAUGGGCAACGAUGACAGGCGUGCCAUCCCCCCUCCUCCGCCUCCCCCCUCGGCGCUGGUCAGAGAGCGUCUUGGGAUGGGGUCGUUCGAUCCAUAUGAGCGGCGCCCGCCCCCAUAUGCUCCUCCCUCCUACAUGGCCAGAGACCGAAGCCCCAUCAGAAGAGCCCCCCCACCCCCGGCUCCAUCCACAGGUAACGGGUUCUCCUAUGAGCGGGCCCGGCUCUCUCCGAUGUCCAGGGCGCCGAUGUAUGCAGCUCCCCGUCCCAGGGACUCCUACAUGGAGAGGCCGCCUCCCCCGCCACCACCACCACAACAACCUCGCUAUCCGGGCUAUUAGGCACCGGAGAGUACAACACAAGGUUGUUAGACUCUAGGCAGGAGAUCCCAGCUCAGGGUAAGUCAUCCUUGGAAGAUGACCUGCACCCUGACGAAGAGGGAGAUAUUGCUCAAACGGUACUAUUUAACAUUUAUUACUCAAUGUAUUAUUCAUUGAAUAAUUUGAAAUUGCAUAUUUUAAAUCUGGAAAUUGUGAUUGAUUUAUUAAUGAUCCCCCCCCCUCCCCCAAAGGACUGAUUAAAAAAAAUUAUAAUUUGCCCUUGCCAAAAUAUUACAACACAUAGUCCAUAGUCAUUUAAAAAUGAAACAUUUGAUAAUUUUGAAUGCGCUAAAAAUAAAGAGAGGCUUGAGCUUUUAAACAAAGUAAGUGUUUUGAAUUAUAGAAGAUGUAGCUGGUACUUAUUUUUAAUUGGUUCCUAAAUAGAAGUCUUAUUUGGUCUGUGUUCAGUGCGAUUGUGACGAUUUGUCUGUGUUCACAGGGAUUUUCUCUGCUAGGUGGGGCGACUAUAAUGUGUCUUUAUGGGUUUGGCAGAGUACACGGGAUGAGACGAUCUUGUGGUCAAAGGAAGCCGAUGUGGUGCGGUGUGGUCCAGCUCUUGGUGACCUGGAGUGAAGAAGAGGAAGAAGAGAACCUGCGUGGCUGCAUCAGCUGAUCAUAACUCCAGAAUAAAGGGCUUGGUGACCACAUGGGAAACGUCAACAUUUAAUAUAAAAUGUCUGCAUCGAAAGCUGAGGCCACACAGCAGGCCGAGACGCUUCAUGGGACAGCGGUGCAGACGACGGGGAUGGAGUCAUCUACAGUGGACAGUCCGGGGGAAGCUGCCUCACUUAGACAUUUCUUGGCUGUGCGCCACAACUGUAACCUGCCACGGGUGAAUGAGCUGGACUUGUACUGUCGGGGGUCCAGGGCAAGCCUCGUCCUGGUCGCACCGUAAAAUCUCCACCCACUCGGUCAGCGUCCGAGAACGGAGAGAGAAAACGGCGCUGCUCAGAACGAGGGGCUCUCAAGACGGAGCAGCUUGAGUCCGUCCCCCCCACCUCCCCACAGUGCACCACCUGCACUGCGUUCCUCUCCACUCACUCCUUGACUUAAGAUUCAGGCAAAAGAAUGUAAUACCUCUUGAAAAAGUAUCACAUAUGUACUUUGAUAAGCACUGAACUCUGACUCAUCUCCUUGACAUUCUUCCCAGAGGGGUGGGACUGUGACUGGAAGGAGGACAACGACCUGUUACUCUCUUUUAGAGCGUUAAUCUCAUUUAAAGAUUGAUGGAGGGCGGCUACUGAAAAUGGAAAGCUACAUGAGGAAAAGGUAACACAGUCGAAUCGACUUGAGCAGGACUCCAGAACAGAGGGCAACAUGUAACCACAGCCAACAACUCCUAUUCAUACGCCAAUAAACCAAAAUUAAAUAAAAAGUGUGGGGCUCCA